ACCAUGUAGCGCAGUGGUAGAGCGACUGCCUGCGACGCAGAAGGCUCCGGAUUAGAUUCCCGGUGGGUGGUU